rnacentral:misc_RNA from 1 species
CAGAGUUCGUGCCCCCCGGGGUAGACCUCCCACCCGUGUGAACGCUACCUUUGUUGCUUUGGUCGGCCGCGGGCUCGCCCCGCUACCAGCUCCGCGCCGGUACGCGCCGACCAGAGGCCCUAACUUCUGCGUCUUGUGCUGUCUAAGCCUGAUACAAAAAGAACA